rnacentral:lncRNA from 10 species
CCUGUGCUCAGGACCCUUCCAGAGCUCACCCCCUGUAUCUCCAGGUAGAUCAUGUCAGAAUUGAAUUGAAUUAUGGGAAUCCCAACUGGUGUCUGCUGCAGAAUUACUAGUUGUAUGGAGAAAAAAAGCCCAAACGUUUGGCAUUAGAAGUGUUGUGUUGGCUAGGUGUGGUGACUCACGCCUGUAGUCCCAAAACUUUCGGAGGCUGAGGCAGGAGAAUCACUUGAGCCUAGGGGUUCGAGACCUGCCUAGGCAACAUAACAAUACCCCAUCUCUACAAUAAAUAAAAAAUAUACUGGCAUGGUGCACACCUGUAGUCCUAGCUACUCAGGAGACUGAGGUAGGAGGAUCACUUGAGCCCAGGAGUUCAAGGCUGCAGUAAGUCGAGAUCGUGCCACUGCACUCCAGCAUGAGCAACAGAGAUCCCAUCUCAAA